AAGGAUCAUUAUCGAAUAAACACUUGAGCAGGCUGUUGCUGGCCCUUGUCAUGGGGGUAUGUGCACGCUUGUCCUUUGUUAUUUUCUCCAACUUGUGCACAUUUUGUAGACCCUGGAGCUUUAUGGAUUUUUCAUUCGAGUCGGGACUGCUGUGCUCUCCUCGUGAGGUCGGCUUUCCCUUGCACCUCCAGGUCUAUGUCAUUUUUCACAACCUCUUUGAAACAUGUUUGGAAUGUUGGAUCAGGUCCUUUUGUACCUAUAGAAAUGAAAUAUACAACUUUCAGCAACGGAUCUCUUGGCUCUC
rnacentral:misc_RNA from 1 species